UUACGGCCAUAUCACGUUGAAACACCGGUUCCUGUACAAUCACCGCAGUUAAGCAACGUCGAGCCUGGUCAGUAGAUGGGUGACCGCUUUGGAAUACCAGAUGUUGUAAG